UUUCUGUGUUGCAGACUUUAUUUAAAAAAUUCCAUGACAUCUACUAUAACUGAACCAACCUGGUGCUCUUCAUUUAUGGAGGCUGUUGAGUCUGAAUGUUGGAUGUUGUGUAUCUCGUGUUCUCUGGGCUUUGUUGUCCUCAGUCUUUUUGCAGGAUCAGAAAACAAAACCGGGAGGCGCGUAAAUGUUUCUUCUCCAUGAUGUUUCUUCAAAUGUUUCUUCUGGAUGAUGAUAUGACCGUGACACGGGAUGCCACCUUUGGUCUUGUGACGAAGCAAAGCUCAGGAAGAAGUGUGAUUAAAUGAGCAGAGCAGCAGUUUGUGCUCACAGAUGGUGACGGUGUGGAGAGACGGUGGUAUUUCCUCAGAAGAACCAGCAGAGUCACAAAGGACACCAGUCCAUCUCACCACCUUGACUUGCUGACUGAUGUUCGUCUGCACUGCACAGAGGAAAUCAACUGACCGAGGAGCGUUUCUGAGUGAG